GCCCAAGCUGUCCUCAAACUUGUGAUCCUCCUGCUCCAGCUUCCUGAGUCACUGGGAUUACAGAAACCUGUGAAGACCCUAAGACUUGUACCAGUCACAGAGGAACACGGCAAAUGCCUCAGUGCUGCCCUCUUGUGGGAGCUGGAGGCUGAACACUCACUCAUCCUGUGGAGGCAAGAUCACUGGAAUCCCACCUUCAACCAAAGGAGAGCAAAGUCUAAAAUGGCGAAUGACUGAGGGAUGCCUUUUUUUUUUUUUUUUUUUACAAGUGUCUUCCGAACUAGUCUGUCACACGCCUGAAUUAUCUUUAGAGAUUGAUUCCUUUCAGACAACAUCCUAAGAGUCCUCAUUUGAAUCACAAAACAAGGAAGAUCACUGUAUAGACUGUUUUUGCAAUUCUUCCAAGAAUCUUCCAUGUCUAGAAGCUGAUGGACUAUAUAUACUAACAGGAUGCCCUAGAAUGCAUCCUCUUGGUAGACUCUGGCUGAGCUUGUCUGUGCAGAUGAAAACAUCCCUGCCACUGAUAAACCUCAAAAGUUUAAAAAGUUGUAACAGGGAGAUUUGCCUUACCUGGCUUGCUGUUGGUCGUUUCUUCGGAUCCCAGUUCAACAUUUCAGUCAUUAGCUGAAUGGCUUCAUUACUGGCAUUGGGAAUAAGAGUUUUUAAGUUUAUAGGAACACACUGAGGAAAGCGGAAAUUCAUAGAGGAUGCAAGCUGGUAUCCUUCUGGCCAGUCACUCUGUUUCAAGAAUACAUAUGUGGGGGUGGGGAGCAAAAAGAAAACGGUUUUAGUGAUCAAUUGAAAAAUGCAAAAGCCACUCAGUAUGAAAAUUUUAAUACUGAUUCAUAUAAACAAAUGUGAAAUAAAAUAUCAGACUUUAUAGCUGAUUCAGUUCUACAAACCAUAUAGAAAGAAAGAACAUUGAAUUGAGAAGGAAAAAAUGAGAAAGUUCCAAGUUUCAAAAUAUUAAACUCUUACCUAGUUUUGGAUCUUGAUGACUUUGAACAAAUAAGGAAAAGUGCUUUACAAACACUUGAUCCUACAAAGAUCCUUGUUAUAUAUUAUAUAUUGUGUCUAAUGUGAAAAAUUACACAGCUGGGAAAGGAUAAUUAUGCUAAGAACUUUAAUAUUUACAUUUACCUUUCUGAAGUUAACUACAAGGCAUGUACUGAUUUAAUUAGGAUUAUAAUUAUACACUUACUAAGUACAUCUCAGAAAGUAAGGUUCACCUGAAAUGCAAUAUUCAUUAAAAAUACCAAAUACCCCUGGCAGAGGUAAGUGGAAACAAGAAAGGGUUAAAAGAAAAUAAGUCUAGGGCUCUAGGAGUGUCUGUUGUCUCCUUCACAGAGCAAGGAGUCGUCUCAGCAAGGUUGUCCAUGUGGUGAUCAGUCAGUCACCAACCCCAAGUCACAUUCUAAAGAGAAUUUUCCCUUAGAUUCUUCAGGAAAGGCAGCACUCUCCUAUUCAAUCCAGUGGGAAUCUGACUUCUGCUGAUCCUAAUCCUACCCCAUUUUAAAAAUAAUAGGAUUGUGAUAAAAUCACUAAAGUAUAAAGCUAUUUGAAAAUGAAAAAAGUCAGAUACUUAGCCAAAAAUGAUAACUGACAGUUACAAAAUUAAAGCAAAGUAGCAAGUUAGAAACAAUGAAAAGUUAGAACAAAUAAGAGUACUUGCUUUCUUGGGAGUCCCUAACACUUGGCAGAUUUUGAAGAUUUCAUCAACUUCACUUGUCCCUGGGAACAGUGGUCUUAGGGUAUAGAGUUCAGCCAUGAUGCUUCCCACCGCCCACACGUCAAUGGGAGAACUGUAUACCGAAGAUCUUAGUAAAACUUCAGGAGCUCGAUACCUUUGAAAAUAGAGAACAAGACAAAAAAAAAAAAAAAAAUGGCUGUUUGGAGUAUGA